rnacentral:misc_RNA from 1 species
GUUCGACAAGAAGAAACAUCUUCGUCUCUGCGUUGGAGAGAUUGCAGCCGUCUCCUCCAGAUCCGUUGUUCCCCGUCUUGGAUCCGUGCUUAAGUCAUCUGCUCCAGGUCUGUUCUCUUCUAUUCACAACUCGUCUUCAAUCUGUGCUCGCGCCUCUUCUCUUCCUCUCCCUGUCUUCCCUGCCCAUCUACUCCAUCCGCAUGGUGAGGUCCGACGCCAUGAGCUCGGACGCUGCUCGCUCCAGUGCUAGUGACUCGACAAGCUCGCAGGCCGCACGCUGUCCAUCGCAGAGGGAGAUUCUGCUGCUGGGUGCACACCGUCCAUUCGACCAGGGAUCUUCACCCACCGGUGAACACCGCUCAUUCUUCAACAUCUCCGGCGACCAUGGGGUCGGCGGCGCUGGUGUGCGCAGCCCCUUCGUGGCCCCAGGGCGUUGGUUUCAUAUGUGUAUGGUUAAUUUAUGUGACCUGUUCUGCAGCAAGCUGGGGUUUAGUAAAGUGCAUGUUUCAGUUUCAAGUUUCAGUUAUAGCAAUCUUCAGUUAUAGCAGUAUCUGAAAUUUUAUCUAUUCUGUAUCUAAAAUUUUAUCCAGUUCUAUAUCUAAAUGCAAGUUUCAGUUAUAGCAAUUUGAAAUG